GGAAGUAGGCGCCUAGCGACCCAGGGGCUACGGCUGUGAUAGCGGACUGCGGCGCUGGUUGGGGCUGGUUUGCCUGUGCCCCGGGAGAAACCGUGGGGAGGAGAAAAGAGGGGUGUGGACAUCCUAGAAACUCUGAGCCCAGCCAACGGAUGAAGCAGUUUGCACAGAAGGAUGAAGAGAUGGAGGUCUCAGCUAAAUUCUUGUGGAUUAUGGCUUCACACUGCUUCAGGAAGAGAGACAUCUCACAGGUGGGAAACGGAGGUGUUAGCCAGCUAACACAGUCUUCCAAUGGUCAAUAAAAGACACAUUAUCUUCU